AGUAGUCUCGCACAGAUGCAUAUCAAUAAGCGGAGGAAAAGAAACUAACAAGGAUUCCCCUAGUAACGGCGAGUGAAGCGGGAAGAGCUCAAAUUUGAAAUCUUAAAGGGUUUCCCUUUACGAAUUGUAGUUUAAAGAAGUGUUUUCUGUUGAGGUUUUGGUAAAAGUUCUUUGGAAUAGGACAUCAUAGAGGGUGAGAAUCCCGUAUUUGACCUUUACUUUCAACUUUGUGAUACACUUUCAAAGAGUCGGAUUGUUUGGGAAUGCAGUCCAAAAUGGGUGGUAAAUUUCAUCUAAAGCUAAAUAUUGGCGAGAGACCGAUAGCGAACAAGUACCGUGAGGGAAAGAUGAAAAGAACUUUGAAAAGAGAGUUAAACAGUACGUGAAAUUGUCAAAAGGGAAGCGUUUGACACCAGCGUUGUUUUUCUGAAAAUCAAUUAAAGAACUGUUUAUGCUAAGCUGUUUAGACUUUAUCAGCUAACUGUUUAGUUUUGAGCUUUUCUUUAAUGCACUUUUCAGUUAACAAGUCAACAUCAAUUUCUUUUGCUGUAAAAAAGCUUGAGGAAGGUGGCUUGAGAUUCGUCUUAAGUGUUUAUAGCCUCUUGCCUAUGCAGUCGGAGAGAUUGAGGUCUGCAGCGUAGAUCCUUCGGGGCUAAAUGCAUUUGUGCUAAGUUAUAGCAUUUUAUAGACAACUUGUUGACUAUGAUUUGUCUUGUAGCUUACUCGCUUAUGUUAUUUUACCUACGCUUAGGAUGUUGAAGACUCUACAGAGAUA
rnacentral:rRNA from 1 species